rnacentral:rRNA from 1 species
GACGAACGCUGGCGGCGUGCUUAACACAUGCAAGUCGAACGGUAAGGCUUUGUUCUUGUGGGGUGCUCGAGUGGCGAAAGGGUGUGUAACACGUGAGUAUCCUGCCCUUGACUUUGGGAUAACUUCAGGAAACAGGGGCUAAUACCGGAUAGGAGCCCCUGCUGCACAGUGGGGGUUGGAAAGAUUCGGCGGUUGGGGAUGGACUCGCGGCUUAUCAGCUUGUUGGUGGGGUAGUGGCUUACCAAGGCUUUGACGGGUAGCCGGCCUGAGAGGGUGACCGGCCACAUUGGGACUGAGAUACGGCCCAGACUCCUACGGGAGGCAGCAGUGGGGAAUAUUGCACAAUGGGCGGAAGCCUGAUGCAGCAACGCCGCGUGCGGGAUGACGGCCUUCGGGUUGUAAACCUCUUUCGCCAGUGACGAAGCGUGAGUGACGGUAAUGGGUAAAGAAGCGCCGGCUAACUACGUG